rnacentral:misc_RNA from 1 species
CACAGGCAGCUUCUAUAGAAGUGGAUGUAACGUGAUCCUACACUUCUAUAGAAGCUGCCUUCAUUUAUGUUCUAUAAAUCUGCUUUGUAUUAACACGUUUCUAAUUUCGAACGUGAAAGUUUCUAGGAGGAUUAUAUUCAUGGAAAACGGAGUAGUAAAAUGGUUUAACGCAGAGAAAGGCUACGGUUUCAUCCAAUUAGAAGAAGGAAAUGAUGUAUUCGUACAUUAUUCUGCAAUCCAAGAGGAAGGCUUCAAAUCAUUAGAAGAAGGACAAGAAGUAUCCUUUGAAAUAGUUGAAGGCGAACGUGGACCACAAGCUGCAAAUGUAACAAAAAAAUAAGUGAACGUAUAUAGAAGCGGUAAUCUGUAAAAGGAUUACCGCUUUUU